rnacentral:rRNA from 1 species
AUUGAACGCUGGCGGCGUGCCUUACACAUGCAAGUCGAACGGUAACAGGUCUUCGGAUGCUGACGAGUGGCGAACGGGUGAGUAAUACAUCGGAACGUGCCCGAGAGUGGGGGAUAACGAGGCGAAAGCUUUGCUAAUACCGCAUACGAUCUCAGGAUGAAAGCAGGGGACCGCAAGGCCUUGCGCUCACGGAGCGGCCGAUGGCAGAUUAGGUAGUUGGUAGGGUAAAAGCCUACCAAGGCGACGAUCCGUAGCUGGUCUGAGAGGACGACCAGCCACACUGGGACUGAGACACGGCCCAGACUCCUACGGGAGGCAGCAGUGGGGAAUUUUGGACAAUGGGGGAAACCCUGAUCCAGCCAUGCCGCGUGAGUGAAGAAGGCCUUCGGGUUGUAAAGCUCUUUCAGACGGAAAGAAAUCUUCCGGGCUAAUACCUCGGGAGGAUGACGGUACCGUAAGAAGAAGCACCGGCUAACUACGUGCCAGCAGCCGCCGUAAAAC